rnacentral:rRNA from 1 species
GGAUUAGAUACCCUGGUAGUCCACGCCGUAAACGAUGUCUACUAGCCGUUGGGGGACUUGAUCCUUUAGUGGCGCAGCUAACGCGAUAAGUAGACCGCCUGGGGAGUACGGCCGCAAGGUUAAAACUCAAAUGAAUUGACGGGGGCCCGCACAAGCGGUGGAGCAUGUGGUUUAAUUCGAAGCAACGCGAAGAACCUUACCUACACUUGACAUCCUGCGAAGUUUCCAGAGAUGGAUUCGUGCCUUCGGGAGCGCAGUGACAGGUGCUGCAUGGCUGUCGUCAGCUCGUGCCG